rnacentral:lncRNA from 1 species
CCAAGUAAUCUGAGCUCAAUAAAAUCUCCUAGGUCAUGAAAAGCAAGCUGGAACCUUCACUACCCUCCUGACUCCUCCUGGGAUUGUGCUUAUGGGAGAGCUACACUAGAGGCCAAAGUCUCAGGAACACCUUCUAGGGUACUUCAGGCAGUGUCUUCUCUCACAUCUGGCUGCACCCUCACACAUCUCAGAAAAGCCAUGGAGGUCACCGCAUUGUCUCCACUGUCAUCAAGGCCUGUUUGUAAGAAGAAAUAUGUCUACUGAAGGGGACACCACAGAUCCCUUUAAAGAUAUGCUGGUCCCAGCCCCAGCCGUGUCACAGGACCCUAUAGUAUGGAACGACUAAAACGCAUUGCAAAAACAAGGUAGAGGGUCUUGUG